rnacentral:rRNA from 1 species
UACGAAGGGGGCUAGCGUUGUUCGGAAUUACUGGGCGUAAAGCGUGCGCAGGCGGCCAUCCAAGUCAGUGGUGAAAGCCCGGAGCUCAACUCCGGAAUUGCCAUUGAAACUGUUUGGCUCGAGUACGAGAGAGGUGAGUGGAAUUCCCAGUGUAGAGGUGAAAUUCGUAGAUAUUGGGAAGAACACCGGUGGCGAAGGCGGCGACCUGGUCCGAUACUGACGCUGAGGCGCGAAAGCGUGGGGAGCGAACAGG